CUUCAUGAACAGAGGCUAGAGUGAGUUCAUACACGUAGGCUACCGGCACAUUAUUGGCAGUUGGUUUUUGCUUCGCAAUGAGGGCUAAUCGUCACAACACAAACUCUUGAUCUGUCGAUUCGGGCGAUUUUAUUACCCUCUUGUGAGUUCUCACUACAACGAUGUGGAGACUACCAUGAGAAAACGAGGCAACUUUUGUGGACAGAUGUUGACAGUGUCCAAGCUCCAAGAAAUGUUUUGUUUAAUUGUGACUUUCUGGAGGAUAUUCCCUUGGAAACCAUUAGAAAUUGGAAAAGAAAAUUGAACCAUACUAAUCAUUCAUCGUCCUGGUGAAAGAAAUCUGUGCCGAGGUGUGCUAGAAAUAUAGAAUUUGUAGGCAACAAAGACAAAAUGAGAGAUUGCGUGAUCCUACGGAGAUGAGCUGUCAUCUUUGACAUUUUGACCGACCGUUGGAAUCGCGCUAAUAUCCUCUCUGCGUAAGGGCCCGGUCCAAAACGACUUCCGUUCACGCUCUCGUACAAACCCUAACCAGCGCAUGGCGAUUUGGAUCCAGUUCUCGAUGAAGUUUUAUUUGUAGUAAACGCCAUGGCUACCUCUCCAUCACGUAUUAAUCUUCAUCAUCUUCCACCGACGCGUAAUUGGCCAUCUGAUAUCUGAUAUAUAUUUUCAUUUUCUCCGUUGAUGAAAUAUUCAUCAUCUUCUGCCGACGCGUUCUUGGUCAUCUGGUAUCUGGUUGUGUUUAUAUUCACUCCUUCUUUUGAGCGUGCUCUGGAGGACUAUCUAGGGUUUCUGACCCGAUUGUCUGGCAAAUUUGAUCGGUUGUGACUGCGAGAUGGUGCGCGAUUUAUCCAUCCCAUAGACUCACUUUGCCUUCUAGAUCGGAGCACUUUUAUAUUUCUUCAGAUUUCCUUUCGAAGUGUAAGUAUACCUCCAUCUCAUUCGGGAAUAGUAAUUAUCCACGACCCAAUUCUGACAUCCUUGAAUAUAAUGGUGUUCUGUUUUCUUCCUGAAUUUUGAUCAAUUUAGUGGUUCUGUCUACGGAGUUCUUUUUUCCAAAUUAGAUUGACUGCUGGAACGAAUAAUGCCUUUUAACUACAUAACCAUUUUUUUUUCUUUCUAUAUUCUGAACUUCAUGGACAUUACUAUUUUGUAGACUUCAGUGGAGAAUUAUUGUUUAAUGAUCUGAAUGCCAGCAAAAAAUUGAUGGACGAGCAUGUGUUGUUUGAAGA